rnacentral:rRNA from 1 species
UACGUAGGGUCCAAGCGUUAUCCGGAAUCACUGGGCGUAAAGCGUGCGUAGGUGGCGCGUUAAGUGUGAUGUUAAAUCGCGGGGCUCAACCCUGUCGAUGCAUCGCAUACUGGCGUGCUAGAGGGAAGCAGAGGCAAGUGGAAUUGGUAGUGUAGCAGUGAAAUGCGUAGAUAUUACCAGGAACACCAAUGGCGAAGGCAGCUUGCUGGGCUUCUUCUGACACUGAGGUACGAAAGCGUGGGGAGCGAAC